UCGUUCUGCGCAGUGCUGCAUGAAGUCGAACGCACCUAUUGUUUGUGAACAGAAGCCGAUAAGUCCAUUCUAGCGAAUCAGCGCGCUGUAUUCAGGUCAGGUGACAACUUUCACUUUGAAAAGACCUGCUAGCUGAGAAGAGUUUCGUCAAAGCUGACUAAAAGUGAUCGAGGAUGGAUAAUUUCGGCGAAUUUGAUGAACCCGUUAUAUCUUCUUCAGGGCGUAAAAGGAAAAUAAAAGCUGAAACGUUUUCACGGUGCCUUGCAAAAGCAGCACAUUACAAUGAUAUGCCAUGGUUUGUCCUUAAUGCUUUCCAGACACAAGAGCUGGGAGACCUUUACUGCAGACAGUGCAUCUCUGAGGUCCAUCUUGUUGGCAAAGAAGAGUAUAGCUCUUUGGACUCUCAUUCUGACGGCACCCAUUCACUGCUAAGGAUCCAGUGGUAAGAAAGAGAUGCAAUGCUAAAUUUCACCAAAUCUGUUCCCAUGAAAGAACAAACUCGUCAACAUCUUGGAAGCCCUGUGGGCCCAGCCACCCUGCAAGCUUAUCAAAAAGCCCCAUUUGCCUAUUUGGAUGGGACGCUUCUGGAAAGAGAUCGCAUCAAAGACCUUUUAGUAUUCGAUGGAGACGGGCAUCGUUGGCUAUCAGCGGCUGGUCUGAUAAGAAAAUGAGCUUGUUCUCUUCUUCUUUUUUUUUAAUAAUCCGAUUUAAGUGAAUUAACUUGAGCUGCGAGCAGACACACAGCUUGCAACCUGCACUAAAGGCUGUAGUACAUUAACCUAAUUAAUUAC